GCGUCAUUGGUCUAGGGGUUAGGAUUCAACUCUUCCAUUCACUUGAAAAGUUGAGGCCCGGAUUCGAGUUCCGGAUGACGCA
rnacentral:tRNA from 2 species